rnacentral:tRNA from 1 species
GGGGCUGUAGUCUAGCCUGGUAUGAUGCGUGGUUCGGGACCACGAGGUCGGGAGUUCGAAUCUCCCCAGCCCCA